UUGAACGCUGGCGGCAGGCCUAACACAUGCAAGUCGAGCGGAUGAAGGGAGCUUGCUCCUGGAUUCAGCGGCGGACGGGUGAGUAAUGCCUAGGAAUCUGCCUGGUAGUGGGGGAUAACGUCCGGAAACGGGCGCUAAUACCGCAUACGUCCUGAGGGAGAAAGUGGGGGAUCUUCGGACCUCACGCUAUCAGAUGAGCCUAGGUCGGAUUAGCUAGUUGGUGGGGUAAAGGCCUACCAAGGCGACGAUCCGUAACUGGUCUGAGAGGAUGAUCAGUCACACUGGAACUGAGACACGGUCCAGACUCCUACGGGAGGCAGCAGUGGGGAAUAUUGGACAAUGGGCGAUAGCCUGAUCCAGCCAUGCCGCGUGUGUGAAGAAGGUCUUCGGAUUGUAAAGCACUUUAAGUUGGGAGGAAGGGCAGUAAGUUAAUACCUUGCUGUUUUGACGUUACCAACAGAAUAAGCACCGGCUAACUUCGUG
rnacentral:rRNA from 1 species